UAACAAUGAUUUCCCCAGUAACGGCGAGUGAAGAGGAAAGAGCUCAAAGUUGGAACCUGUUUGGCUUAGCUAAACCGGAUUGUAAACUGUAGAAACGUUUUCCUGGCACGCCAGAUAAAUAAGUCCUUUGGAACAGGGCAUCAUAGAGGGUGAGAAUCCCGUCUUUGGUCUGAGCUGUUGUCUAUUGCGAUACGUUUUCAAAGAGUCAGGUUGUUUGGGAAUGCAGCCUAAAUUGGGUGGUAAAUCUCACCUAAAGCUAAAUAUUUGCGAGAGACCGAUAGCGAACAAGUACCGUGAGGGAAAGAUGAAAAGAACUUUGAAAAGAGAGUUAAACAGUAUGUGAAAUUGUUAAAAGGGAACCGUUUGGAGCCAGACUGGCUUGAUCGUAAUCAAUCUAGGUUUCGACCUGGAUGCACUUGCGGUCUAUGCCUGCCAACGACAGUUCUUUCUGAAGGAUAAAACUAGGAGGAAUGUGGCCCCUCGGGGUGUUAUAGCCUUCUAGAUAAUACUUUGGAUGGGACUGAGGAACGCAGUGAAUGCUAUUAUGGCGAGAUUUCUAUUCGCUUUUUUCCGAGAAUGGGUGAAUUUCUGCUUCGGGUGGUGCAUUCGUUCUUUGGAGAAAACUCGUGUAGUUAUUUUUCUAUUCACUUAGGUUGUUGGCUUAAUGACU
rnacentral:rRNA from 1 species